GCCGCACAGAGAUGUGGAGUCUGAAUUUGCAUUACCUGCAUGGAGAAGAAAUACCGACCUGAGACUAUGCCAAUAAAUAUGACCUUGGAUUGAUGAAAUCAGGAACUGUAGGAGAAUCAAAGCCAGGGUAUAAUGAAGGGCAAAGUGCCUAAUGAUAUAAUUGACAUAGAAAAGGAAAGUAAGAAGAGAUACUGGAGGGAAGGGAGAGGAAAAAAGGCAAACGUGGAGCAAUGAAUUACAGGGCACCCUGCUGGCCAGUAAAGGACAAUAAUUCUGACUUCU
rnacentral:lncRNA from 1 species